rnacentral:tRNA from 1 species
GGGGCCAUAGCUCAGCUGGGAGAGCGCCAGCUUUGCAAGCUGGAUGUCGUCGGUUCGAUCCCGUCUGGCUCCA